rnacentral:lncRNA from 1 species
GAGGAAGUGAGCUCAUAGAGCACGGCCCGGAUCCUGGGAUCCAGACAACUCCACUUCCUCUCACUUUGCUUUCUGGCCACCAUGGCCAACCUUAUCCACCACAUCCUCCCACCACGAUGGGCUUCCUCACCACAGCCCUGAAAGCAGCGGGGCCAAGUGACCAUGGAUGGGAGUCUCCGAAACUGUGGACCCGAUAAACUCUCCUCUGACCGACUGAACCAUCGCAGGUGUCCGUGACAGUUACAGAAAAGAGACUGACACGAUCAGCUCUGAUGAAGCAUUCCAAACUACCUCAUUCUUAUUUUGUUUUGAAAUCACGUGGCAAUUUUCACUCCGCACUGAGAUAUGGAUGACGUUGAAUUAUCACUUUGAAGAAAAUUGCUAAGAAGAAUUAUAUUUCAAUUAAAGAAGCCAAAUGAGGGAAACUCCAUAUCCUGUUCAAGAGGAGAAGCAGAAGAAAUGCUCUGGCCUUGCAGGAAUGGGAUCCUGGCUCUGUUUCCUUUUUCUUUUUUAGUUUGACAAAAUGUAUUGAUUAUUUUAGGAAAGACAUUCAUCUCAGUCAUUCCUCUCCUCAUCUUGACCUUAGAUUAGUAUUUUAUUUGGGUCAAGAUAAGAGCAUGUAGGACAGGGAUGCUAUUUCAACAAACAGCAAAAUGAACAAAAAUGAAUCGUUUGCCUACAUAAAAUACCUACGAUGUGCUUUUGAGAGGCCUGGCUCUGUUUCUCUGUGCUGGUGUCUGCUCAUCCGUUCUCCCCUCUGCGGAACUUACUACGCAUCGAGUGACUGUGUCAGGAGGAGGAAAUGGCACCCCAACCGGCAGACAGCACCUGCGAAGACCUCUGUGUGCCUUCGGAGCCCAGCCCAGGCCUGCUUUGGCCUCAGGAGGACGCCAGUGGUGUCUCAGGUCUCCAGGGUCACCGUGUGGCGUUAAUCAGCCUAGAGGAGGGGAAGAACACAGAAGCUACCCCUCCGCAUUCCAUCAGGUGUCCUUUGGCCACACCUCUGGCCACACCUCGUUGCAAAGGAGCUGGGAAAGGUAUUGCCUUUUGUCUCCGAGAAAAAUAAAACAGGUUUGGCAAAGACUCAGCUGGGCUCGGUGACGCCCUGGUUCUGGCCGGAUGGCACUGCCUAAGGAACCCCUUCAAAUGUGGCAGCUGAUGGUACGUGGGCAGCUGUCCAAGUUCAAAAUACAGCUAACUCCAGCACUGUAUUCGCAGCUUUGGCCUCUGCUGCCGUCCUGGGUCAGCAGGGGAAGCCCAGCUCAGAGUCUAG